rnacentral:rRNA from 1 species
UGGGGAAUAUUGGACAAUGGGGGGAACCCUGAUCCAGCCAUGCCGCGUGUGUGAAGAAGGCCUUAUGGUUGUAAAGCACUUUAAGCGAGGAGGAGGCUCUCUUGGUUAAUACCCAAGAAGAGUGGACGUUACUCGCAGAAUAAGCACCGGCGAACUCUGUGCCAGCAGCCGCGGUAAUACAGAGGGUGCGAGCGUUAAUCGGAUUUACUGGGCGUAAAGCGUGCGUAGGCGGCUUUUUAAGUCGGAUGUGAAAUCCCCGAGCUUAACUUGGGAAUUGCAUUCGAUACUGAGAAGCUAGAGUAUGGGAGAGGAUGGUAGAAUUCCAGGUGUAGCGGUGAAAUGCGUAGAGAUCUGGAGGAAUACCGAUGGCGAAGGCAGCCAUCUGGCCUAAUACUGACGCUGAUGUACGAAAGCAUGGGGAGCAAACAGG